CAAAAAAGAAAAAGAAAAAAAACCUGAGCCAUACACCCUUUAAGCAUAAAGAACGAAGCAAGUAUGUCCGAAUACCUACACAUUGGAAUCGGGUUUCUGUUUUCGGGUUUAUUGGAUCGAAAAAAACUUUUACGAUGCUAGAAACUUUUGUCAGGCGGAUGGUGGAGACCUGGUUAGUUUUGAUAGUCAAGAAAAGACUGAUAUCAUCAUACAAUAUCUCAUCCCAACUGAAAGAUAUGUGUUUGGUAUGUUUAACAUACAAAGUGAUAAAAGUUUUGAUCUGGUAGAUGGAAGAACAAGUGCCGAUUUCACGUUUAGGUACUGGAAACCGAAUCGUCCGGAUGGUCCAUUUAAUAUACCAUUAUGUGGAAGUUUCAAUCACAAUUCAAAUGGCUAC